rnacentral:rRNA from 1 species
AGACCGAUAGCGAACAAGUAGAGUGAUCGAAAGGUUAAAAGCACCUUGAAAAGGGAGUUAAACAGCACGUGAAAUUGUUGAAAGGGAAGCGCUUGCGGCCAGACUCGGGGGGCGGGGUUCAGCGGGCGCUCGUCGCCCGUGCACUGCCCGCUCCCCGGGCCAGCAUCAGCUUCGACGGCCGGUCAAAGGCCCCCGGAAUGUGUCGUCUCUAGGGACGUCUUAUAGCCGGGGGUGCAAUGCGGCCCGUCGAGACUGAGGAACGCGCUCCGGCUCGGAUGCUGGCGUAAUGGCCGUAAGCGACCCGUCUUGAAACACGGACCAAG